rnacentral:rRNA from 1 species
UAGGGAAUAUUGGUCAAUGGGUGAGAGCCUGAACCAGCCAUGCCGCGUGCAGGAAGAAGGCCUUCUGGGUUGUAAACUGCUUUUGCCAGGGGAUAAAAAUACCUUGCGAGGUAAAUUGAAGGUACCUGGUGAAUAAGCCACGGCUAACUACGUGCCAGCAGCCGCGGUAAUACGUAGGUGGCAAGCGUUGUCCGGAUUUAUUGGGUUUAAAGGGUGCGUAGGCGGCCCUGUAAGUCAGUGCUGAAAUAUCCCAGCUUAACUGGGAGGGUGGCAUUGAUACUGCGGGGCUAGAGUACAGAUGAGGUAGGCGGAAUUGACGGUGUAGCGGUGAAAUGCUUAGAUAUCGUCAAGAACACCUAUAGCGAAGGCAGCUUACUAGGCUGUAACUGACGCUGAGGCACGAAAGUGUGGGGAUCAAACAGGAUUAGAUACCCUGGUAGUCCACACUGUAAACGUUGAUUACUCGCUGUGUGCGAUAUACAGUACGCGGCCAAGCGAAAGCGCUAAGUAAUCCACCUGGGGAGUACGCCGGCAACGGUG